AUAUCAAAUACUCAAGUUUAAUAUAGUUUAAAAAAAACAAUGGUCUUGUAAACCAUAAAUUAAAUA
rnacentral:tRNA from 1 species